rnacentral:rRNA from 1 species
CCUUCCGUACGGGUACCUGCGGAGGGAUCAUUACACAAAUAUGAAGGCGGGCUGGAACCUCUCGGGGUUACAGCCUUGCUGAAUUAUUCACCCUUGUCUUUUGCGUACUUCUUGUUUCCUUGGUGGGUUCGCCCACCACUAGGACAAACAUAAACCUUUUGUAAUUGCAAUCAGCGUCAGUAACAAAUUAAUAAUUACAACUUUCAACAACGGAUCUCUUGGUUCUGGCAUCGAUGAAGAACGCAGCGAAAUGCGAUAAGUAGUGUGAAUUGCAGAAUUCAGUGAAUCAUCGAAUCUUUGAACGCACAUUGCGCCCUUUGGUAUUCCAAAGGGCAUGCCUGUUCGAGCGUCAUUUGUACCCUCAAGCUUUGCUUGGUGUUGGGCGUCUUGUCUCUAGCUUUGCUGGAGACUCGCCUUAAAGUAAUUGGCAGCCGGCCUACUGGUUUCGGAGCGCAGCACAAGUCGCACUCUCUAUCAGCAAAGGUCUAGCAUCCAUUAAGCCUUUUUUUCAACUUUUGACCUCGGAUCAGGUAGGGAUACCCGCUGAACUUAAGCAUAUCAAUAGCCCGGGAGGAA